rnacentral:rRNA from 1 species
GACGAACGCUGGCGGCGUGCUUAACACAUGCAAGUCGAACGGAAAGGCCUCUUUCGGGGGGUACUCGAGUGGCGAACGGGUGAGUAACACGUGAGUAACCUGCCCUUGACUUUGGGAUAACUUCAGGAAACUGGGGCUAAUACCGGAUAGGAGCUCCUGCUGCAUGGUGGGGGUUGGAAAGUUUCGGCGGUUGGGGAUGGACUCGCGGCUUAUCAGCUUGUUGGUGGGGUAGUGGCUUACCAAGGCGUUGACGGGUAGCCGGCCGGAGAGGGUGACCGGCGACAUUGGGACUUAGAUACGGCCCAGACUCCUACGGGAGGCAGCAGUGGGGAAUAUUGCCCAAUGGGUGGCGGCCUGAUGCAGCAACGCCGUGUGCGGGAUGACGGCCUUCGGGUUGUAAACCGCUUUCGCUCAUGACGAAGCUUUGUGUGACGGUAGUGGGUAAAGAAGCACCGGCUAACUACGUG